GGAGAUGAGGUUUAUAUGGCCACAGCAUCUCACUCCACUAACUACCAGGGUUGAGUCAGCUGAACUGGUUGGUGGGACAGCUGUCCCUCACCUCCCACACUAUUCUAUGAGCCUUCUACCCAAAGCCUGACAGAAGAGGGCCAACAAACCCUUUAGCAGUUGGAGGCCUCAUCCUCAGUUAAAAGGCUAUGAUGACUGGGCAGCUCUAUUAAAACUUGCCGCUCCAGUGAUGCCCUUCGCCCAACAGAGAAGGAAAGGCUAGGAGCUUGGGUCCUCAGUUGCAAAUGGUAUCCUGA
rnacentral:snRNA from 1 species